rnacentral:rRNA from 1 species
UCGAGAAUCUUUGUCAAUGGGCGAAAGCCUGAACAAGCGAUGCCGCGUGCGGGAUGAAGGCCUUCGGGUUGUAAACCGCUGUCAGAGGGAAGGAAAUUUUGACCGAUCCUCAAAGGAAGCCCGGGCUAAGUUCGUGCCAGCAGCCGCGGUAAUACGAACCGGGCGAACGUUAUUCGGAAUUACUGGGCUUAAAGGGUGCGUAGGCGGCGCUGUAAGUCGGGUGUGAAAUCCCACGGCUCAACCGUGGAAUUGCGCCCGAUACUGCAGUGCUUGAGGAAGAUAGAGGUGAGCGGAACGAAUGGUGGAGCGGUGAAAUGCGUUGAUAUCAUUCGGAACACCCGUGGCGAAAGCGGCUCACUGGGUCUUUUCUGACGCUGAGGCACGAAAGCUAGGGGAGCGAACGGGAUUAGAUACCCCCGUAGUCC